rnacentral:rRNA from 1 species
UACGAAGGGGGCUAGCGUUGCUCGGAAUUACUGGGCGUAAAGCGUGCGUAGACGGUCAUACAAGUCGGGUGUGAAAGCCCCGGGCUCAACCCGGGAAUUGCAUUCGAAACUGUAUGGCUAGGGUGCGGAAGAGGGAAGCGGAAUUUCCGGUGUAGCGGUGAAAUGCGUAGAUAUCGGAAGGAACACCAGUGGCGAAAGCGGCUUCCUGGUCCGACACCGACGUUCAGGCACGAAAGCGUGGGGAGCAAACAGG